rnacentral:rRNA from 1 species
GAUGAACGCUAGCGGGAGGCCUAAUACAUGCAAGUCGAACGGCAGCAAUUCGGUUGGCGAGUGGCGCACGGGUGAGUAACGCGUACAGACCUGCCUUGUACUGGAGAAUAGCCCCGGGAAACUGGGAGUAAUACUCCAUAGUAUCGAAAGAUUAAAGCUCCGGCGGUACAAGAUGGCUGUGCGUCUGAUUAGCUAGUUGGUGAGGUAACUGCUCACCAAGGCGACGAUCAGUAGGGGGCGUGAGAGCGUGACCCCCCACACGGGUACUGAGACACGGACCCGACUCCUACGGGAGGCAGCAGUAAGGAAUAUUGGGCAAUGGAGGCAACUCUGACCCAGCCAUCCCGCGUGCAGGAUGACGGCGCUACGCGUUGUAAACUGCUUUUAUUUGGGAAGAAAAUUAUGAUUUUAAUCAUAACUGACGGUACCUUAUGAAUAAGCACCGGCUAACUCCG